CAUAAAGCACCUCGCUUACACCGAGUAGAAGUCUGUUAAACCCAGACCAUUUUGA
rnacentral:tRNA from 1 species